CCCUGGUUAGCUCACUUGGUAGAGCACUCCACUGGAAAUAGAGGCCCCUGGUUCGGUACCAGGACCAGGCA
rnacentral:tRNA from 1 species